rnacentral:rRNA from 1 species
CAGCCGCCACGGGAAUGCGAAGGGGGCUAGCGUUGCUCGGAAUUACUGGGCGUAAAGGGAGCGUAGGCGGAUCGUUUAGUCAGGGGUGAAAUCCCGGGGCUCAACCUCGGAACUGCCUUUGAUACUGGCGAUCUUGAGUAUGGGAGAGGUGUGUGGAACUCCGAGUGUAGAGGUGAAAUUCGUAGAUAUUCGGAAGAACACCAGUGGCGAAGGCGACACACUGGCCCAUUACUGACGCUGAGGCUCGAAAGCGUGGGGAGCAAACAGGAUUAGAUACCCCUGUAGUCCCUGUCUCUUAUAU